UACGUAGGUGGCAAGCGUUGUCCGGAAUUAUUGGGCGUAAAGCGCGCGCAGGCGGUCCUUUAAGUCUGAUGUGAAAGCCCACGGCUCAACCGUGGAGGGUCAUUGGAAACUGGGGGGACUUGAGUGCAGAAGAGGAAAGCGGAAUUCCACGUGUAGCGGUGAAAUGCGUAGAGAUGUGGAGGAACACCAGUGGCGAAGGCGGCUUUCUGUCUGUAACUGACGCUGAGGCGCGAAAGCGUGGGGAGCAAACAGG
rnacentral:rRNA from 1 species